rnacentral:lncRNA from 1 species
UAGCUAGCGGCGGAGGCGCUCCCAUCGCGGAUGCUUACACGAUCAACGGCCACCCCGGCCCCAACUAUAACUGCUCCGUCAACGGUAAGCCUCAAGUCUAGUAAUAAGGAUAAAAAUAGUUACAUGAGAUGUAAGAAAAAGGUAAAUUAAGCAGAAACGUUCCUUAGAUGUGUACAGGAUGAACGUGGUACCCGGGAAGACCUACCUGCUGAGGUUGAUCAACGCGGGAUUGAACACAGAAAACUUCUUUGCAAUUGCUAAUCACAAGCUCACCAUAGUCGAAGCAGAUGCAGAGUACACAAAGGCGCUCCACACCGACAAGGUGAUGCUCGCGCCGGGCCAGACCCUCAACGUCCUCGUCACAGCAGAUCAGCCCAUAAGUAGAUACUCCAUGGCUGUCGGGCCAUACAUGUCUGCAAGAAACGUACCGUUUCAGAACAUAACCUCAGUAGGAUAUUUUCAGUACCUAGGUGCAACACCAAACAGCAUAUCUUUACCAGCCAUGCUACCUAGUUUCAACGACAAUCUUGCCGUUAAAACUGUAAUGGACGGGCUCCGGGGCCUCAACACCUCGGAUGUUCCUAAAGUAAUUGACAAGAACUUGUUUGUCACCAUAGGUGUGAAUGUGAAUAA